UGCCUUAUCUGGCAAGGGAGAUACCAUGACCAUGAAGGUGGUAAGAGUGAGGCUUAUGUACUAUCCUCUGGGUGUGCUGACACCUAUGAUUUCUCCGAAUUCAGGAAACUCGACUGCAUAAUUUGUAGGAGUGGGGGACUGUGUUCACACUGGACUCAA
ensembl:snRNA U1 U1 spliceosomal RNA